UACAGAGGUCUCAAGCGUUGUUCGGAUUCAUUGGGCGUAAAGGGUGCGUAGGUGGCGAGGUUAGUCAGGUGUGAAAACUCGAGCUCAACCUCGAGACGCCGGUGGAAACUGCAAAGCUAGAGUCCGGAAGAGGAGAGUGGAAUUCCUGGUGUAGCGGUGAAAUGCGCAGAUAUCAGGAAGAACACCCGUGGCGAAGGCGGCUCUCUGGGACGGUACUGACGCUGAGACGCGAAAGCGUGGGGAGCAAACAGG
rnacentral:rRNA from 1 species